GUGCUCGCUUUGGCAGCACAUAUACUGAAAUUGGAACCAUAUAGAGAAUAUUAGCAUGGCCCCUGAACGAGGAUGACACACAAAUUCAUGAAGUGCUCCAUGUUUUU
ensembl:snRNA U6 U6 spliceosomal RNA